rnacentral:rRNA from 1 species
ACCGGGACCGACAGCAAUAUGAAGGGCCAGGCUGAAGACUUUGCCGGAUUAGCUGAGAGGUGGUGCAUGGCCGUCGUCAGUUCGUACUGUGAAGCAUCCUGUUAAGUCAGGCAACGAGCGAGACCCACGCCCACAGUUGCCAGCGUACUCUCCGGAGUGACGGGUACACUGUGGGACCGCCGCUGCUAAAGCGGAGGAAGGAAUGGGCAACGGUAGGUCAGUAUGCCCCGAAUAUCCCGGGCUACACGCGAGCUACAAUGGUUGGUACAAUGGGUAUCUACCCCGAAAGGGGACGGGAAUCUCCUAAAACCAAUCUUAGUUCGGAUUGAGGGCUGCAACUCGCCCUCAUGAAGCUGGAAUCCGUAGUAAUCGCGUUUCAACAGAACGCGGUGAAUACGUCCCUGCUCCUU